ACGAACGCCGGUGGGUUACGUUUUGCAGCAAACGUUAGAACAACAGAUAUUGAGUUCUACAGAGAUGAGUUAGACCAACAGAGAGAGACUCAGAUGACAUGGCGGCCGUACACAGAUGUUAUUAUAGAUGCGCUACCUGCAUUCUGUGUACAGGGCAGUGAGGUAUGGCGAUCUCGGACGACACUGAUUUGUUUUCAUAUCGUUGAGCUUCACGUGCAGGAUCGAGUCCUACGGCAGUUUCGUCUCCUCCAGCAUAUACUCAUUCCGGUGGAGACCAUCCGGCGCUACACUUCUCAGGGGCGGCCAGAUGAGGAUUGGGCUCACUUUCAUGCUGCACACAUCGAGCGAUGGGGAGAUAGAUUACAGGCCAUUAUUGACCAGCAUCCGAUUGUCGGUGAUGAUCCGGUACAGGCGACCUCGAUUUAUAUGGACUGGUACUGGCAGAUCACGAGACGAUGAAUUUCUCGUCCAGUACAGCGUCCACCAUUGACUUACCAGCCUCGUGGCCAGACCGAGAGAGCUUUGGUGGACGCUAUACGACAGACACAGUAUACCAUCAGGAGCCUAGUUCAUGAUCGACCAUCUUACGAUGCAGUGAUGGAGGUAUUGACGGGUAUGAAUAUCGAUCUUGAUAGUGUACUGGAGUACAUUCCUACUAUACCUGUCGCCACUGAUAUCAGAGGUCGAGAUUUUGGACAUGCAUCGACAUCGGGUCAUCACCACCGUCAAACACCGACAUCUGCUGGAUCUCCAUCUCCUAGUGAUGUUGCUGAUAUACCCGCCGCCCCUGAGAGAUUUCCUACUAGGCCAUUGGACUUGGACUUGCUUUUGCCGCCGCCAGUCUCUAGAGAGCACUUUACAUUCGUCUAUUCUCGACGUCAUGCCGCGUCUUCAUCACAGGCCCGCCCAACAUCUAGACCGGCCACUAUCGAGGAGACUCAGGCGAUACCGGAGCAUCGCGAGGGCAUUAUGAUUGCGGAUCUCGAUGCGAUGACCGAUAUCGAGGCAAUUGAUGACAUACCUAUUACUGAUCUCGUUGUAGAGGGUGGCCGUAGACGUGGACGUGGCCGUGCACUAGGACGUGGCCGAGGACGU